AUUGAACGCUGGCGGCAUGCCUUACACAUGCAAGUCGAACGGCAGCACGGGUGCUUGCACCUGGUGGCGAGUGGCGAACGGGUGAGUAAUACAUCGGAACAUGUCCUGUAGUGGGGGAUAGCCCGGCGAAAGCCGGAUUAAUACCGCAUACGAUCUACGGACGAAAGCGGGGGACCUUCGGGCCUCGCGCUAUAGGGUUGGCCGAUGGCUGAUUAGCUAGUUGGUGGGGUAAAGGCCUACCAAGGCGACGAUCAGUAGCUGGUCUGAGAGGACGACCAGCAGCAGUGGGACGGAGACGCGGCCCAGAAGCGUAAGGGAGGCAGCAGUGGGGAAUUUUGGACAAGGGGCGGAAGCCUGAACCAGCAAUGCGGCGUGUGUGAAGAAGGCCUUCGGGUUGUAAAGCACUUUUGUCCGGAAAGAAAUCCUUUGCCCUAAUACGGGCGGGGGAUAACGGAACCGGAAGAAUAAGCACGGGCUAACUAGGU
rnacentral:rRNA from 1 species